GAUAGCUAAAAAUAAUUGCUGGAUUUAAUGUUGGAUUAGUAAUGAAUCUAAUAUCUCCUCCCCCAGGAGCCCAUGUAUCAUAAAUUCCACCUAUAAAUAGUGCUUUAAUAACUAACAAAAAUGCUCCAAUACCUAGCAAUAUCAAGUGAAUUCCUAGUAUUGUUGUCAUUUUAUUUUUAUCUCUCCA
rnacentral:antisense_RNA from 1 species